rnacentral:lncRNA from 1 species
GUUACCGCGAAACAGCGCUACAUUACAUUUGAGGGAGCGGGGAUGUUUAAGACAUUCUUGAAGUAUAACGACUACGCCGAGAAAGCUGGCAGCACAUCCAAGAGUGCCUCCACUGCUGUAAUGUCCGAUUACUUCGUUGCGAAGGACCUCACCUUCGAGGUACUGAAAUCCUCGAAUACACUACCACGGUCUUUCAUUUGCAAUCACAGAUAAGAAAGAAGAUCGUGAAGCGCUGCUAGAUUGAGCACUGGUGUUGCAAGGGAUGAUUAACUAUUUCGGUGAUUUGCAACAGAACACACACCCUCCUCCCCCUGGUGGUGCAGUGGGACAGCAAGCAGUUGCUUUCAGGAUCGAAGGAGACUUUGCUCAGUUCUACCGGGUGGGCUUCUUGGGAGCUCAGGAUACGUUGUACGAUAAGAAGGGAAGGCAUUAUUUCAAAGACUGCUACAUCAAAGGAUCAAUUGAUUUCGUCUUCGGAAACGGCCAAUCAUACUACGAGGUAUGUGCAGAAUGACCUGAAAUUCCUCCAUUCUAGAACCAGACUCCCGACUGGUUUCAUGUCAGUUGCUGCAACAAAUCCUUGGCUUGUCAAUGAAAUGGGUGCAUUUGCAGGAAGGGAAACUGUGGUUGUGACCGAUCAUUAACACCAGUCGGCCGUGUCGCCUAAUUUUGCAGUACUGCCACCUGGACUCGAUUGCCAAUCCGGGAAGCGGUUCCCUCACAGCACAGAAGAAGAUGACCAAAGAUGAGAAUAGUGGGUUUUCGUUUGUCAACUGUAAGGUCACAGGAAAUGGACCUAUCUAUUUGGGUCGCGCUUGGGGACCAUACUCC